rnacentral:rRNA from 1 species
ACAUGAAACCCUACGCUGACAAACAGUGGGAGGUACUUUAGUACUGACCGCGUACCUGUUGAAGAAUGGGCCGGCGACUUAGAAAAAGUGGCAAGGUUAAAGACUCUAAUCUGGAGCCUAAGCGAAAGCAAGUCUGAAUAGGGCAUCAUAAAGUCACUUUUUCUAGACCCGAACCCGGGUGAUCUAACCAUGACCAGGAUGAAGCUUGGGUAAU